AGACCUUGACAGUUGUAACCGAUAGACUGGGCUGGGGCAACGCUGAUGAAAGGCAAAUUCCUGAGAGAAAAAUCACCCAGAUUUUUCAGUGCCUUCUCUAGCUUUCUAGAAGUUGUUAUGAGUGGACCUGACUACCUAGAGAGAGUAAUACAGAAGCUCCGUGCCGAUCACAGCUACCUCAUUACCAUGUUCCUCCAAGAUGGCCGCCCCUGAGGAGAAUCAUCAACUGGGCUUUACGGAAGAGAGAAAUCCAAACGACCAUCAGCAACAAAUGAAAGACUGAAGUUGAAAGUUUCAAGAUUGUCAAGAAUGACGAGUUGGACUUGGUCUAGUUACUUCCACAGCAGCAGGAGGAACAUGUGUGUGACUCAGGAUAACUGGGGAAGCCUUGGCUAGGCUUUCCUCAUGUCAACCUACCACUCAAAGGGAGAAAACCUCCUGAUCAGAGGAAAUCCAUAAUUUUUGAAUGCUGGCCGAGGUCUGUGACCUCUGACUGAAUGGUUUCCAAGCUCCGAAUUCCUAGGUGAUGUUUUCAUUUGUUCACACUUGCUGAAGAAGGGAAAGGCUCUCUGAUUUACGUGUAAGCAAAACAAUCUAAACAGUAGGAUAAAAUCAUGUUGGAAUGGAGUUCUGUGUGGAUGCUCCUUUGAACCAAAUCAGUUCCACAACUGACCCUGUCAGGGACAUAUAAAUUUAGCAUUUUGGUGUGGAUACAGAAGACGAGAUUAACACAGAUCAAGUAACAUGGAAAUAAAAAAGGAGACAAUGCUGGAUGAUACAGGGGCAGCCAACAAGAGGAGAAAACCCAAGCAUUGGCAAAUGCCUCAUUAUCCAAAGAACACUCCUUAUACUCCUGAGAAUUUGUGGCAGUCCUGGGUUAAACGAUGAAGGCUUCUUAUUCUCAUGUAGGUCUCACAGCCUCUUGUCUCCCUGAGUUUUAAACACAUUGCAUUACCUUUCCAGAGGGGCCUCAGAGUAUGUCAGCUGGGGUCAGACGGGAACAGGAGUCUGGCUCAACACACAUUUAUUGCACUCCUGUUUCAUGCCAAGAAAUGUACCAAAAUCUGGGACUGUGUAACACAGCAAAGGAAAAGACUCAUCUCCAGGAAGCCCCCUUGUCUAGGAAGAGAAAUUGAAUAUCAGCAUAAGGUGGUGAAAAGCUGUGAAGGAGAUGAGUGCCAGGAGUCCAUGGAGGAAGGAUUCUAGCCUGGACAGGUGAGGAAUGGCUUUCUGGAAGAAGCAGAUGCCCCAGCUGAACUUUAAAAUGCCCAUGUGAAAUGAACUGUCUGUAUCUUCAAUCAGCAAAUGGAGUAGGUGGCCACUGUUUAAUUCUGGAAUGGGGAAGUGUAAAGGUGUGGUGUGUGUGUUUACCCCUACUUAGGGAUUCAAAACAGACAGUAAAGAACAAAAGUCUAGCCCUUUGAGCAUUCUCCAUGGGACAUUUGAGGUCUAGCUGGCCCCAGAGAAAGAGAGACAGAAGCAAGGUCAUAUCCAUUUGAGAAAAUCAAAGUGUCUGCUCCAA
rnacentral:lncRNA from 1 species